AAAGAAAACCCUAAAUGGGGUUGGGCACAAUGGAAACAACUGAACAACAAUGUCACAAAUCUCCCUCGGAGAGAUCUCAGUAGAGAUUAUUUUGAAACGUCAAUCAGCCAGCUUGGUUAAAUAUGUUAGUUAUAUAUGUGUGUGUGACAUAUAUGUUACACACAGUGUAUGUAUAUAUGUGUGUGCAUAUGUGUAUGCAUAUUUAUCCAGAAUAGGACACCCUGCAAACAACAUUUCCUUCCCCUUCUCCAAAGAACAUGGAAAGGAAGGGGCAAAGAAGCACUUUGGGAAAAUGAGUUUGGAAACCAGGCAUGCAGAAGGAAGCUUUGGAUUCCUGAUUGGGAAGGUCCUUUUGAAUGCCAACUUGGUUAAAUAUGUUAGUUAUAUAUGUGUGUGUGACAUAUAUGUUACACACAGUGUAUGUAUAUAUGUGUGUGCAUGUGUGUAUGCAUAUUUAUCCAGAAUAGGACACCCUGCAAACAACAUUUCCUUCCCCUUCUCCAAAGAACAUGGAAAGGAAGGGGCAAAGAAGCACUUUGGGAAAAUGAGUUUGGAAACCAGGCAUGCAGAAGGAAGCUUUGGAUUCCUGAUUGGGAAGGUCCUUUUGAAUGCCAACUCUGGCCCUAUGGAAACACCCCCUUUUGGGAAAACUGGAAGCUGAGAACUCAAAAAGAUAAAUUGGUUAAGAAUUUGUUGCUGUUGCUGUUAAAUGACAGAAUGUUGGAUCACCUCAAAUCUAAGCCACAUCAAAUGCUGCUAGAAGAAGAAGAACCUGUUUUCAAUUAAACAUUAAAGCACAAAGCAGCAUUUUAGCCUGGUGCCUGGCAUGUGGUAUUGUAGAUGACUGCAAAGAUUUUUACAACAAACUGUUUUCACCAUCAAGGACUGUGAAGCCAUGGAACCUGGGCUCCUAACUUUGAACUUUUGGAUAUUCUUAUAAAGGAGGCAGAAAAAGGCACUAAGAACAAAAAGAGGAGAAAAGCAGCAAGAUUGGCUCAAGUGUGCAUAAAAUAGGUCUGUGCUGGGGAAUGACCCAAUUGUGUGGGUGUUAAGGGAACAAUUCGCAAGGAAACUAAAGAGGCUGAAGAUACCAAUGGUGUGACUCAAUUGGGUAUGGAAAGCUAUCUUACCCUACAGGAAAAUAGGGGGA